UAAGGAAUAUUGGUCAAUGGACGCAAGUCUGAACCAGCCAUGCCGCGUGCAGGAAGAAGGCCCUAUGGGUUGUAAACUGCUUUUGCCAGGGGCUAAAAGGCCCAUGCGUGGGAAAUUGAAAGUACCUGGUGAAUAAGCCACGGCUAACUACGUGCCAGCAGCCGCGGUAAUACGUAGGUGGCAAGCGUUGUCCGGAUUUAUUGGGUUUAAAGGGUGCGUAGGCGGCCUUAUAAGUCAGUGCUGAAAUAUCCCGGCUUAACCGGGAGGGUGGCAUUGAUACUGCAAGGCUUGAGUGUAGUCGAGGUAGGCGGAAUUGACGGUGUAGCGGUGAAAUGCUUAGAUAUCGUCAAGAACACCGAUAGUGUAGACAGCUUACUAGGCUACAACUGACGCUGAGGCACGAAAGUGUGGGGAUCAAAC
rnacentral:rRNA from 1 species